AGUGAACGCUGGCGGCAGGCCUAAUACAUGCAAGUCGAACGGCAGCACAGCAGAGCUUGCUCUGUGGGUGGCGAGUGGCGGACGGGUGAGGAAUACGUGGGAAUCUGCCCAGUCGUGGGGGAUAACGUAGGGAAACUUACGCUAAUACCGCAUGCGCCCUUCGGGGAAAGCCGGGGACCGUUCGGGCCUGGCGCGAUUGGAUGAGCCACGUCGGAUUAGCUAGUUGGCGGGGUAAAGGGCCACCAAGGCGACGAUCCGUAGCUGGUCUGAGAGGAUGAUCAGCCACACUGGAACUGAGACACGGUCCAGACUCCUACGGGAGGCAGCAGUAGGGAAUAUUGGACAAAU
rnacentral:rRNA from 1 species